rnacentral:RNase_P_RNA from 1 species
UGAGUAGCACAAAUGGUCGCGCCUGAUUACAGGUGAGGAAAGUCCGGGCUUCAUAGGGCAGGGUGCCGGAUAACAUCCGGUGGAGGCGACUCCCAGGCUAGUGCAACAGAAAUAAACCGCCAAAACUAUUUUAUUAAAUUGCUUGUCAAUGAAAUGAAAUAGAAUGGUAAGGAUGGAAAGGUGGUGUAAGAGACCACCGCUCUUCUGGUAACAGAAGGGGCAUAUGUAAACCCCACCCGAAGCAAGACCAAACAUAAAGCGAUACGGCUGCCCACCGUGCUUUAGGGUAGGUUGCAAAAUAACGGCGUAAGUUGUUAUUUGAGCUGUAUGGUAACAUGCAGUCUAGAUAGAUGACCAUUGGUGCAACUUUAGUUGCAUUACAGAACCCGGCUUAUCGUGCUGCUCAUCAA